GUGGGGAAUUUUGGACAAUGGGCGCAAGCCUGAUCCAGCCAUUCCGCGUGCAGGAUGAAGGCCUUCGGGUUGUAAACUGCUUUUGUACGGAACGAAAAGCCUCUGGUUAAUACCCGGGGGUCAUGACGGUACCGUAAGAAUAAGCACCGGCUAACUACGUGCCAGCAGCCGCGGUAAUACGUAGGGUGCGAGCGUUAAUCGGAAUUACUGGGCGUAAAGCGUGCGCAGGCGGUGAUGUAAGACAGUUGUGAAAUCCCCGGGCUCAACCUGGGAACUGCAUCUGUGACUGCAUUGCUGGAGUGCGGCAGAGGGGGAUGGAAUUCCGCGUGUAGCAGUGAAAUGCGUAGAUAUGCGGAGGAACACCGAUGGCGAAGGCAAUCCCCUGGGCCUGCACUGACGCUCAUGCACGAAAGCGUGGGGAGCAAACAGGAUUAGAAACCCGAGUAGUCC
rnacentral:rRNA from 1 species